ACGCUCGACACCUACGGGAGGCAGCAGUGGGGAAUAUUGCACAAUGGGGGAAACCCUGAUGCAGCGACGCCGCGUGAAGGAAGAAGUAUCUCGGUAUGUAAACUUCUAUCAGCAGGGAAGAAAGUGACGGUACCUGACUAAGAAGCCCCGGCUAACUACGUGCCCACAGCCGCGGUAAUCUGAGCGGGCUGGCAAGGC
rnacentral:rRNA from 1 species